GCCUGCUCCAAGGGAAGGAUCAGGAGAGAAGAAAUGCAAAUCCCAGAACCGUGCCAAUAUAUAAAACCCCACAUUAAGGGUUGUACAGUGCACUUGGAUUUCUCAAGUCACCCGCUUGGUCCUCUUCCAAGUAUACUUUACUUCCUUUCAUUCCUCUCUAAAACUUUUUUAAAAACUUUCACUCCUGCUCUAAAAGUUAUCUUGGUUUCUUACUCUGCCUUAUGCCCCUUGGGUGAAUUUUUUCCUCUGAGGAGGGAAGAAUAGAGUUGCUGCUGCAGACCCAUCAGAUUCCCUACUGGUAACAGCUGGAGUGCGUCACCUCUGACAAAAUUCUGGGGACGCUGGGGACCCUGAAUCACCAUGGGCAAUGAGAACAGCACCUCGGACAACCAGAGGACUUUAUCAGCUCAGACUCCAAGGUCCGCGCAGCCACCCGGGAACAGUCAGAAUAUAAAAAGGAAGCAGCAGGACACGCCCGGAAGCCCUGACCAGAGAGACGCGUCCAGGUAGGAGGCCAGCUCUGGAGGACUGCUGCAGCCCAAGGACUGCCCCGCUCAUUGCCUGCUCCAGCAUUAGCUUUGCCCCAUUUGCUUUGGAAACUGGACCCUUAGACACAUGAUAUCGUCCUCAGUGGUGAGAUGUUCCAAGCAGUGGUUCACAGACCUCUCUGUGACUGGCUAAGCCUGCAUGAUUGAAAAAUUCAUACUGAUUGCCUGCCCAAAGAUGAAAUUAGUAAUUAUAGACUUCCAUUCCAGCCACACUCCAGAGUAUCUUCAUUGUCAGAACUUAAAAUGGAAAACAUCAAGGGUUCCCAGGGGUUUAUCAGUGUUUAAUCUGUGGCUAAGUGGAGUCUGUAUCUCAGUGUGGUGGCCAUUGCGGGCACUGGACCAUGAAACAGAGGACUGAGAACACAAUUACCAAAGCCACCCAAGCCCUUUGUCCCAGGGAGGCUGGUGGAUGAAUCCCAGAAACCAACUGUGGCAGUGGGAUGUGGCCAGUGCGGGGGUGGCCCAUCAGUCACUUCCUUUUUUUUGAGAUGGAGUCUCGUCCAGGUUGGAGUGCAGUGGCAUGGUCUCGGCUCACUGCAACCUCUGCCUCCUGGGUUCAAGCGAUUCUCCUGCUUCAGCCUUCCAAAUAGCUGGGAUUACAGGCUCCCGCCACCAUGCCCAGCCAUUUUUUGUAUUUUUAGUAGAGACGGGAUUUCACCAUAUUGGCCAGGCUGGUGUCUAACUCCUGACCUCAGGUGAUCCACUCGCCUCAGCUUCCCAAAGUUCUGGGUUAUAGGUGUGAGCCACCACGCCUGGCUGGUCACUGGCUCUUGUUAUGAGCCACAGCCAGGCCCUAGGGCUCCCUGCCAGGGUUCUCUCCUGGGCCCCUCCCCAUGUUGGCCCCACACAUAGUUUUAGGGGAUGCAAGCAGUAGUCCAGCAGACUCGAGCACCUGGUGUCCAGCAUGGACACAGGCCAGGCACGCUGGGGGCACUUAAUAACCGCUUGUGGGUUCAACUCACAAACAGGCCGUGGAUUUGGUCAGAAAAACCCUGAACAAUUGGAGCCCAGCUCCCAGGAGUGUAUCAUGACAGGCCUUAAGGGAAACAAAUGAACAGGAACUCUAUGGAACAAAAAUGCAAAAUUGAAGGAUAGGCCCCCAUCAUAGACAAUGCAACUUUGGCUCACAUGCUACUUCAUACCUUUGCAAAGCCUUGAGACUCAAAGUGACUUUUUUUUUUUUGCUUUGGGUAAGUCAGAGCAACCCCUGGUGGCAGGAAUUUUCAUGCCUGGGCCACGGAAGUGGGUGGCUUGGGCUAUGUGGCUUUCCAGAGGAAGUACUUGGGGCAUCUUGGCAGGAGUUUUGGAUUUCUUUAGGGAAACGGCAAUCAGAUGGGGCAGAGUGUUUUUUGCUGAGGGAAUCAGAAUGAUGCCUCAAACAGCACCUUUGAUCUCUAUCCUCUGCUGAAGAUGGUGCUUCCUCUACUUCCCCAGACCCCCGUGUCUGUUCCAUUUCCAUGAACUUUUCAUCAGGGUCACAGGACAAAGGUUUCAGUCUUUGGUUCUAAUGAGACCUCUGACUUGGCUCUGGGUGACUAUGAAAUUAGUGAAUGGAUUUGUCUUUUCUGGAAUCCCACACAAGGGAAGCCACUCUGGCUGAGGCCCAGGAUCCAGCUCUUCUCUUUCCCUCUUGGUGAGGUCCUGGGUUCUCCUGAGGCCUGGGAAUUGCUCGAGGCCUGUGUCACAGCUGGACUGAAGAGUAGCAGCAGUUCAAAUGUCUUUUGUUGCUUGUUCCCCAGCUUUAGUCAAUUAUUAUUUUGCCCUUGAAGAAUUGCCUCUCGUUGGCAUGCAAAUUGAGCAUAAAAGAGGUGCCCGUAAUCCGAGCACUUUGGGAGGCCGAGGUGGGUGGAUCACGAGGUCAGGAGAUCCAGACCACCCUGGCCAACGUGGUGAAACCCCGUCUCUACUAAAAAUACAAAAAUUAGCCAGGCAUGGUGGCAUGUGCCUGUAGUCCCAGCUACCCAGGAGGCUGAGGCAGGAGAAUCGCUUGAACUCAGGAGGUGGAGGUUGCAGUGAGCCGAGAUCUCACCACUGCACUCCCGCCUGGGUGACAGAGUGAGACUAUGCCUCAAAAAAAAAAA
rnacentral:sRNA from 1 species